rnacentral:rRNA from 1 species
CGCUGGCGGCGCGUUUAAGCAUGCAAGUCGAGCGGCAAGGGCCUUCGGGCCCCUAGAGCGGCGGACGGGUGAGUAACACGUGGACAAUCUGCCCCCCGGCCCGGGAUAGCCCAGGGAAACCUGGAUUAAUACCGGAUGAGACGGGACCCGCGAUGGCGGGACCCGGAAGGCGCUGCGGCGCCGCCGGGGGAUGAGUCUGCGUCCCAUUAGCUAGACGGCGGGGUAACGGCCCACCGUGGCGACGAUGGGUAGCCGGCCUGAGAGGGUGGACGGCCACAUUGGAACUGAGACACGGUCCAGACUCCUACGGGAGGCAGCAGCUAAGAAUCUUCCGCAAUGGGCGAAAGCCUGACGGAGCGACGCCCGCGUGAACGAAGAAGGUCGUGAGGUUGUAAAGUUCUUUUCGGGAGGGGGAACAACCGUGGCAGGGAAUGGCCGCGGGAUGACGUGAAUCCCGGAAUAAGCCCCGGCUAACUACGUGCCAGCAGCCGC